AUGAUCCUGAUGGGAGAGUCCGAAUAGUGGACGCCGAAGGAGCAACUUUUCGCCCGGCAGGCGAAGGGGAAACUCUCAGGCUUCAGUACCAUCGGGGGAUG
rnacentral:ncRNA from 2 species